CCUCCAGGCUUUGGGGUUACACUGGGAAGAGAAAGGAACAAAAGGGAAGGGGGCUCUCUUAAGGCUAGGGGGCAACAAGAGGGGAAACUUAGGUUUGCAAGUUGAAUAAGCAUUUGAGGAUCGGGGUGGAAGUUGUUGGAGGGACAGUAAACCAUUGCAGGAAUAAGGAUAGGAUUACAUCUAGUUGAGGUUGUUUUUUUCCCCAGCAGAGUGGAAUGUUUGGAAAGACCCCGAAGAUCCAAGAGUGCAAGGAGUAGCAGGCUGCAAGAAGAACUAAGUAACUAAAGGAGUAGUCUUCCUCAGGAAAGUGAAACCCUGGAAGUACAGUCUGAAAAGCAAGAGGACUUCUCAGUUCACACAGCUAAUUCUGAGACAGGCAGUCCCGAGCGCAGGCUGGGCUGCCAAAGAACCCAG